UACAGAGGUCUCAAGCGUUGUUCGGAUUCAUUGGGCGUAAAGGGUGCGUAGGUGGCGUCGUAAGUCAGGUGUGAAAUUUCGGAGCUUAACUCCGAAACUGCAUUUGAUACUGCGGUGCUUGAGGACUGGAGAGGAGACUGGAAUUUACGGUGUAGCAGUGAAAUGCGUAGAGAUCGUAAGGAAGACCAGUGGCGAAAGCGGCUUCCUGGACCAGAACUGACGAUCAGGCACGAAAGCGUGGGGAGCAAACAGG
rnacentral:rRNA from 1 species